rnacentral:rRNA from 1 species
GAUGAACGCUGGCGGCGUGCCUAAUACAUGCAAGUCGAGCGAAGCGGGGGCGGGUGAGUAACACGUGGAUAACCUCCUCUAAGACUGGGAUAACUUCGGGAAACCGGAGCUAAACCCGAAACUGUUAGAUGGUUCCUCGCUGCAUUAGCUAGUUGGUAAGGUAACGGCUGACCAAGGCGACGAUGCAUAGACGACCUGAGAGGGGGAUCAGCCAAACUGGAACUGAGACACGGUACAGACGCCUACGGGAGGCAGCAGUAGGGAAUCUUACGAAAUGGGCGAAAGCCUGACGGAGCAACGCCGCGUGAGUGAUGAAGGUCUUCGGAUUGUAAAACUCUGUUAUUAGGGAAGCGGUACCUAAUCAGAAAGCCACGGCUAACUCCGUGCCAGCAGCCGCGGUAAUUC